UUACUUGGAGCCUCUCGCUAUGGAGUUGCCGUAGAUUUAUGGAGUACUGGUUGCAUUCUUGGGGAACUGUACGCUGGCAAACCUAUUUUGCCAGGAAGAACUGAGGUUGAGCAACUGCAUAAGAUUUUUAAGCUCUGUGGUUCACCUUCUGAGGAUUAUUGGAGAAAACUGAAGCUACCUCAUUCAUCUGUAAUCAAGCCUCAACGACCAUAUAAACGAUGUGUUGCAGAAACAUUUAAAGAUUUACCCGCUUCUGCAGUUGGACUUAUGGAGACCUUGCUUUCCAUGGAUCCAGCCAACCGUGGAACUGCAGCUUUUGCUCUUAGGGACAAGUUCUUCAGAUCAAAACCAUUUGCUUGUGAUCCUUCAAGUUUGCCCAAGUAUCCUCCGAGCAAGGAGAUUGAUGCUAAAUUGCGGGAUGAAGAAGCUAGAAGGCAAGGAGCAAUUGGAGUGGGGGGGAAUGGACCACGUGAAUCUGGUGCUGUUCUAGCAUGUAAUACCAAUUCCAAAAUAGCAACAUUGAUGCAGGAAAGACGACAUUCCAAUGCAAAUAGCAGAGGUGAAAUAUUCAACUCUCACAAGGGGCAAACUGUUUCUGGUUUUCUGGUUGAUCCUUCUAAACAAACUCAAGCUGCAAAAGAAGGGAGGAAAGAUUUCCCAGAGAAUCAACGCAAGAAGGUUUCUCAUUCCGGGCCACUGGUCCAGGGGACAGGCUGGACAAAGGCUGGAAAGGAUCUUGAUAAUCCUAAUGUGGCAUCAACCAGAACCAACCUAUCAACCAUAUCUGGUUUAGUAGCAGCUAGAACUUCAUUGGCUGAUGAUCAGCAGGGAAAGCCUAGUAGUUCACAGCCAGAAGCAGUGAAACAGGUAGGUGGGUUUCAGGGAUCUUCAAAUGGAUUAGAGCCCACAACAAAGCAGAAUCAAAAACAUCAAGUGCGUAAGCCUGCAGAUUCUCCUCA
rnacentral:misc_RNA from 1 species